AUGCUUUUAAGCCGGGUUGUAGUAAACUCAAACCAAACCCGUCCAUUCCUUUCCCGCCUCAGCUACACCUCCGAGCCCGGCGCCACCAAGUGCUCCACGCAAAGCUGGCCGCAGACCCCGGGGCUGAGAGGCUCAUGGUCAGCCUUCCACUCCCGGCUGCUGCCACAGAGGCUCAGGGACAGGCAGGGCCCCUGGGCUCAGGGCUCAGGGCUCAGGGCUGGGCGCAGACUUGCCCCUACGCCUCCCCAUGUUCCCGGGGGGCCAUUUCCCACGCUCGGGGUCUGGGUGCCUGGUAGGGGAGAGAGGAGUGUGCUGGCACCGGCAGCGGUUGUGCUCAGGCUGCAGUGGCAGCGGGACCCGCCUCUGGUGGUUUUGAAAGCCCCUCACAACCUCUGGUCUUCACACCCCACCUGUCUUACAGCCAAAGGCUGCCAGAGGGGACGGCAAGUGGGGAGGAGUGGGACGAGCCAGGCCUCACAUCCCGUGCUCCCUCACCACCCUGGGCUGCGUUCUCUGUCCCAGAAGGAGCACAGGGCUGUCCCCUGGUGCCCCUCUCUCGGACCGGGGACAUACCACAGCCUUCCCCACCUGCCAACUGCCAGGAGAGGGCAGCCUGGGGAGCUCCCGGCCACCAGGAGCAGCCCCGCCCAAGGCUGCGAGGGCAUCUGCAGCGGAGGCUGCAGGGCGCCCAUAUCUCCUCCCAAGUGUGGCCUGGGUGCCCACCAUGUGAGGGGUGCUGAGAACCACAGCUCCAGCCCCAUCACACGGCCUAGUGAACUGAGCUUCCAGAAGAUUCUUUGGUGCUUGCUCAAGCCUACACAGCUACUAGCAAGAGAGUGGGCAGUCAGCACAUAUCUGCUGACCCAUGGCCUGGGACUUCUUGCUCCAUCUCCGCUGAGUCGGAUGUGGCUCCUGCACGGAGGAGAUUCCUUGACUGCAGACAGGGAUACUGCCCAGCUGUCCCAGGACCAGCCCACGGCACGUGGGGCUGGGUCAGGGCUGCGAGGCCAUGGAGCAGAGUGGCAGCUCCCUUCUGCCAUGUGGCCUUCUGCCUUAACCCGCCACUCCUUGACUUGUCCAUCCGCAAGAUUCUGA
rnacentral:lncRNA from 1 species